rnacentral:rRNA from 1 species
GGUAGUCCACGCCCUAAACGAUGUCAACUAGCUGUUGGGGCCUUCGGGCCUUGGUAGCGCAGCUAACGCGUGAAGUUGACCGCCUGGGGAGUACGGUCGCAAGAUUAAAACUCAAAGGAAUUGACGGGGACCCGCACAAGCGGUGGAUGAUGUGGAUUAAUUCGAUGCAACGCGAAAAACCUUACCUACCCUUGACAUGUCUGGAAUCCCAAAGAGAUUAGGGAGUGCUCGCAAGAGAACCGGAACACAGGUGCUGCAUGGCUGUCGUCAGCUCGUGUCGUGAGAUGUUGGGUUAAGUCCCGCAACGAGCGCAACCCUUGUCCUUAGUUGCUACGAAAGGGCACUCUAAUGAGACUGCCGGUGACAAACCGGAGGAAGGUGGGGAUGACGUCAAGUCCUCAUGGCCCUUAUGGGUAGGGCUUCACACGUCAUACAAUGGUCGGGACAGAGGGUCGCCAACCCGCGAGGGGGAGCCAAUCCCAGAAACCCGAUCGUAGUCCGGAUCGUAGUCUGCAACUCGACUACGUGAAGUCGGAAUCGCUAGUAAUCGCGGAUCAGAAUGUCGCGGUGAAUACGUUCCCGGGUCUUGUACACACCGCCCGUCACACCAUGGGAGUGGGUUCCACCAGAAGUAGUUAGCCUAACCGCAAGGAGGGCGAUUACCACGGUGGGGUUCAUGACUGGGGUGAAGUCGUAACAAGGUAGCCGUAUCGGAAGGUGC